UGAGGAAUAUUGGACAAUGGAUGGAAAUCUGAUCCAGCCAUGCCGCGUGCAGGAAGACGGCCCUAUGGGUUGUAAACUGCUUUUGUAUGGGAGAAAUAAGGUCUAUGCGUAGACUGAUGAGAGUACACUACGAAUAAGCAUCGGCUAACUCCGUGCCAGCAGCCGCGGUAAUACGGGGGAUGCAAGCGUUAUCCGGAUUUAUUGGGUUUAAAGGGUGCGUAGGCGGUUUGAUAAGUCUGCGGUGAAAUAUUUCAGCUUAACUGAAAGGGUGCCGUUGAUACUGUCAGGCUUGAAUAUGGUUGCUGUUGGUGGAAUGUGUGGUGUAGCGGUGAAAUUCUUAGAUAUCACACAGAAUAUCGAUUGCGAAGGCAGCUCACAAAGCCAUUAUUGACGCUGAUGCGCGAAAGUGUGGGGAUCAAACA
rnacentral:rRNA from 1 species